CGAACGCUUCAGCAAUGAAGAGUGGCAGGACGGGUGAGUAACGCGUCGGGAACCUUCCAGUGGUACGGAAUACGCCAGGGAAACUUGGGGUAAUACCGUAUAAGCCCUUCGGGGGAAAGAGUUUAUCGCCAUUGGAUGGGCCCGCGUCGGAUUAGCUUGUUGGUGAGGUAAAAGCUCACCAAGGCGACGAUCCGUAGCUGGUCUGAGAGGAUGAUCAGCCACACUGGGACUGAGACACGGCCCAGACUCCUACGGGAGGCAGCAGUGGGGAAUAUUGGACAAUGGGCGCAAGCCUGAUCCAGCCAUGCCGCGUGAGUGACGAAGGCCUUAGGGUUGUAAAGCUCUUUUGGCGGGGACGAUAAUGACGGUACCCGCAGAAUAAGCUCCGGCUAACUUCGUG
rnacentral:rRNA from 1 species